AACCAAGAGCAGAAUACCAGAGUGACCGUCCCGUUGGAAAGAAGUGAUAAGAUUUCCCACCAAAAAUGUCUCUCGCUGUGGGUGGUGUGUCUGUUAUUUCUUUCAUUUUGGUGCGUUUCUGGUGACUUCUCGCCCGAGAUCAAACCCGCGGCUACUGGAGGAGGAUCUUUUGGCCCCGUGUAGGCCUGAGGGACGCCCGGGUGUCACUCCAACGUGGGACUUCUGAAUAAGGUACGUGAUGGUGUUGAUGGUGCCUGAGUAAUGAUGGUGAGUGGGUGUGAGUUUGUGGUGGUGAUGGCAGUUGUGACUGAGUGAUGAGUUUCAGUAGUGGUGGUGAUGGUGAGUGAGGAUGAAUCUGUGGUGAUAGUGGUGAAUGAGUGGUGAUGGUGGUGGUGAUAGUGACUGAGUGGUGGUGAUGGUGGUGAUGAUAGUGAGGCGUGGAGGGCGGCAGAGGGUAAGG